rnacentral:tRNA from 1 species
AUUUGUAUAGUUUAAUAAAUUAAAACAUUAUAUUUUCAUUAUAAAAAUAUUUUUAAUAAGUUACAAAUA